UGAGGAACAUGACCUUUGGCGGGGGAUAGCCGGCCCAACGGCCGGGUAAUACCGCGUACGACCACAUGGGGACAUCCCUGAGUGGUGAAAGCAGCAAUGCGCCGAUGGAGUGCCUCGCGGCCUAUCAGCUAGUUGGUGAGGUAACGGCUCACCAAGGCGACGACGGGUAGCUGGUCUGAGAGGAUGGCCAGCCACAUUGGGACUGAGACACGGCCCAGACCU
rnacentral:rRNA from 1 species